AACUCGCUUGGAAUGUGUCGGCAUCGUGCUGAUUGAUGCGGGAGCCGAUGCUUUUAUUUUAGGGAGCCUGGGUCCACUCGUGGUGAGCACGCCUCUAACUAACUGAGGAAGCCUGAAGCGCGUGGUAAGGCACCCACCUAGUGAGUGGUGGGUUCCCUGGCAAGUCAGAUACGUCGUAUACCGGCGCAUUC
rnacentral:other from 1 species